UGGUUAAGAAGGCUAUAAAUAGCCAUGCAACCAUCACUUGUAAGGUAAACUAAAAACUAUGCUAAGCUUAAAACCUUUGUCCUAAAACUCUCCUUCUUGUAUUAUAUUUCCUAUCAACAAAGAUUUUUCUUUCCCAUAUCCUUCAACCAUUUCCAAAUUACAACUAAAAAUUUUAACUAUCAAACUACUUUUAUUUCAACCCCUAAUCACUAUAAUCUCCUAAACUACCAUCAUCCUCAAAGAGUGGUCAAAGCCCAAUUGAUUGUAAGUGGGCAUUAGAGUCUAUAUGGCCACCACAAAUUCAUUACAAUCUAUCUUUAUGCCACUUCCCAUUUUUAAUGGUAGCAACUAUGAUUUGUGGGGAAGAAAAUGGAAACACUCUUCAGGUCUCAAAAUCUUUAGGACAUUGUUAAGAAUGGAUUUCAAGAGCCAGAAAAAUAUCUCUACUCUAGAAGAAGCACAAUGGAAGGUGUUAGAGGUGAAAAGGCAGAAGGAUACUAGUGCACUUUAUUUGAUUCAACAAUCACUGGCUAAUACAAUUUUUUUUAGGAUUACUAAAGCUUCAACAGCACAGGGAGCGUUGGAUAUGUUGCAGGAGGAGUUUCUCGGCGAUUCUGAGAGAGCAGCUGAGAUAAAACAGGGAGAUGUGGAACCAACUUAUGGAGCAGCCAUGGAAGAAAACUGGGAAAUAAUGGUUAACUACUAUCAGGGACAUAUAGAAUAUUUUUCCUCUCCAGUUACGGACACUUGGGAUACUGUACUUCAUCUAGCUAUACACAGCAAAGAAGAGAAACCACUUAAAGAUUUACUUGAAAUCAUGAAGAAAAGAGAAUUACCUUUAACUGAUCAGACAGAAAUUCUCAAGAAAACAAACAAAUUUGGAAAUACGGCUCUUCACGAGGCAACCAUCUAUGGCAAUUAUGAGGCUGUAAGACUCUUGGUAGAACGUUGUCCAGAGCUGCUUUCGAUUCAAAAUGAGUUCGGUGAAACCCCAUUGUUUACAGCUGCCGGAUUUUCUAAGACAGAAAUAGUAGAGUUUUUAAUCAGACACAAACCAGAACAAUGCGUGGAUGCUAAUGGCCGCCUAUUACCACCUCACAGCAAGCGAUCGGAAUAUUACCUGUCCAUCCUUAGCGCAGCUAUCAUAGGGCAAAAAUUUGAAACAGCUUUAUUGUUGCUAGAACUGGAUAAAUCGCUCGCCAGCUUGAAGGACAAAAAUCAAAUAUCUACUCUUCAACUUCUAGCCGAAAUGCCAGCUGAGAGUGAAUUUCCCAUGGGCAUAUUUGAAAGACUCAUCUACUGUUGUAUGCCUACUCCAACCACAUUAUUAGACCUUACAAUAUUGCCUACAUAUUCUUGUUUGAAUACCAUGGACAUACACAUACAUAUAUAUGUAAAUAAUUUGAACUCUAAAUUAUGUUGCAGGCCUUCCUGUUAAACGUCACCACGAGGUAAAAUCACAGGUACAAACUUGGUGCCUGGCAAAUAAGAAAGAUCUUGAGCGCGGUCGGGGGAGGAACUGAGGAGAUCCGGGGAGUGUCUGGAAGGGGAAUCAAAGAGGCGGCAUACUCAAAUAUUUAAAGGUCCCUGAAGCUCUCACCCAUGUUUAAUUUCAUUCCCUUUCGCACGAUCAUGAUGUAGGACGUUGGCUAGAAAGAAUCUGGAACCGGAAAAGAAAGCAUGUAUUUGCUUUGGAAUUCGCCGAAAGCCUAAUAAAGGAAGAUAAUUCUUUUAAACGAGUCACCAUAACAGAGGAAGACCAAAAUAAAAAAAGAAGAAGAGCAAGAAAUGUGUGCGCAAACUUCUCAAAACACUAGGAAAGCAAAAACUCCUGUAUUGUCAUCAUUAACUACUAAAAAGGAGAUCCCAUUGUUUACUGCAACUAGAAGGGGAAUAGAAAAGAUUGUGGAGCUGAUAAUAAGGCUACAUCCUCAUGCAAUUGACCAGCGCGAUGAAAUGAAUCGGAGCAUUUUGGAUGCGGCCGUCAUGUAUUGCCAGGAAAAAAUCUUCGAUAUUGUGAAGGAAAAGAAAAUACCAUUGGCUAGAAUGCGUCGAGUUGUUGAUAUUAGCGGCAACACAUUGUUGCACCAUGUUGCAGAUAUGCAGAAAAACAGUGGAGUAACCAAGCCUGGGCCUGCACUCCAACUUCAGGAGGAGUUGAAAUGGUUUGAGCGAGUGCAAGACGUAAUUCCUUCUUAUUAUGUCCCGCUUCUGAACAAAGAUGGAAUGACUGCAAGAGAGUACUUCGAAAUAGCGCCAAGGAGAA